rnacentral:rRNA from 1 species
AGGGUUUGAUUCUGGCUCAGAUUGAACGCUGGCGGCAGGCCUAACACAUGCAAGUCGAGCGGUAACACAGGGAGCUUGCUCCUGGGUGACGAGCGGCGGACGGGUGAGUAAUGUCUGGGAAACUGCCUGAUGGAGGGGGAUAACUACUGGAAACGGUAGCUAAUACCGCAUAACGUCGCAAGACCAAAGAGGGGGACCUUCGGGCCUCUUGCCAUCAGAUGUGCCCAGAUGGGAUUAGCUAGUAGGUGGGGUAACGGCUCACCUAGGCGACGAUCCCUAGCUGGUCUGAGAGGAUGACCAGCCACACUGGAACUGAGACACGGUCCAG